rnacentral:rRNA from 1 species
AGGACGAACGCUGGCGGCGUGCUUAACACAUGCAAGUCGAGCGGAAAGGCCCUUCGGGGGUACUCGAGCGGCGAACGGGUGAGUAACACGUGAGCAACCUGCCCCUGACUCUGGGAUA